AGAAAUGUUCAGUUUCUCAUAAAUAAUGAUGUUGAACAUAAGAUUUAUUUUAGCCAAAAAUAGAAAUUUUUUUUCUAUUCUGAAUUUGCUGAGAUUUUUUUUAUUACUGAUUGUUCAAAUUCGUCAAAUGUUUUUUCUCAAUCAUUUGAUAUGAUCAUUAUAUGUUGCUUCUAUAUUCUGUUGAUAUGAUAUGUCAUAUUAAUUUGAGAUUUGAAUAUUUAGCCAGACUUGCAUCCAUGGAAUAAUCCCCAGUUGGUCAUGGCAUGUGAUUUUGUCUACCAUUAUUCCAUUUGCUAGUGUUUUGUUGAGGAAAAUUUCCCUGAUUUCAUUAAUUAUAAGGAAGCUGUAGUUUUCUUCAUUGCUUUUGGACUGUCUUCAUCUGGUGUCAGGGUGGUGCUCAUCUCCCAAUAUGAAUGGGGAACCAUUCUUUUCUUUUCAGUUAUUUGGAAGAUAAUUUGUAGAAUUGGUGUAAUUCCCGUAAUGCUUGGUAGUAUUCUCCAGUGAAGCAUUUGGACCUGGAGGUUUUUCUUUAAGAUGUUUAAUUAUAUAUUUAUUUUAUUUUAUAUGUAUAGAACUUAUAAGAGUAUUUCAUAUUGGAUAAAUUAUCAUGGUUCUUUUCAAGGAAUUGUUUUAUUUCAUGCAAAUUAUUUAAUUUGUUUGAACUAUUUUCUAUUAUCCUUUGAUUGCAGCAGGAUAUGUUCUUAUAUGCCCUGUUUUACUUCUGAUAUUGGAAAUAUAUCCAUUUUCUCUCUCUCUUCUUUGUUUCACAGUACUCUGGAUGGAACCCCAGGGUGCUCUAAUGCUGAGCUCCAUCCCCAGCCCUUUUUGUUUUGAGACAGGGUCUUCCCUAAGUUGCCCUGGCUGGUCUUGAACUUAUGAACUUCCUGCCUCAGCCUCUUCAGUAGCUGGGAGUGUAUCCAUUAUAGCCAUUCUCUUUUUGUCUUUGUAAUCUUUUUAGAUUUUUUCAAUUUUCUCAGUUAUUUAAAAUUGUAUCGAUUUUUUUUCUCUACUAUGUGUUCUUAAUUCAACCCAUUUCUUGGAUCUGUGUUAUAUCCUUUCUUCCACCUAAUUUAUUUAUAUUUGGCUCUAAUUAAUUUCUCAAAGUGGGUGCUUCUUGAUUUGAAGCCUUUUUCUUUUCUAAUGUAAGCAUGAAAUUCUUUGAAUUUGAAUCACAGUACUGUUAGC
rnacentral:lncRNA from 1 species